rnacentral:rRNA from 1 species
UUGUAUAAUGGGUCAGCGACUUAUAUUCUGUAGCAAGGUUAACCGAAUAGGGGAGCCGAAGGGAAACCGAGUCUUAACUGGGCGUUAAGUUGCAGGGUAUAGACCCGAAACCCGGUGAUCUAGCCAUGGGCAGGUUGAAGGUUGGGUAACACUAACUGGAGGACCGAACCGACUAAUGUUGAAAAAUUAGCGGAUGACUUGUGGCUGGGGGUGAAAGGCCAAUCAAACCGGGAGAUAGCUGGUUCUCCCCGAAAGCUAUUUAGGUAGCGCCUCGUGAAUUCAUCUCCGGGGGUAGAGCACUGUUUCGGCAAGGGGGUCAUCCCGACUUACCAACCCGAUGCAAACUGCGAAUACCGGAGAAUGUUAUCACGGGAGACACACGGCGGGUGCUAACGUCCGUCGUGAAGAGGGAAACAACCCAGACCGCCAGCUAAGGUCCCAAAGUCAUGGUUAAGUGGGAAACGAUGUGGGAAGGCCCAGACAGCCAGGAUGUUGGCUUAGAAGCAGCCAUCAUUUAAAGAAAGCGUAAUAGCUCACUGGUCGAGUCGGCCUGCGCGGAAGAUGUAACGGGGCUAAACCAUGCACCGAAGCUGCGGCAGCGACACUAUGUGUUGUUGGGUAGGGGAGCGUUCUGUAAGCCUGUGAAGGUGGCCUGUGAGGG